GGAUAAACAGAUACUGUGAUGAAAGUGUGAGAAGCACAGCCAUAGAGAGCUUUACAAAGGGCAUCAGUAUUAAUGUCAAAUGUUACUGAGGCCUCGAGGGAACUAACCAGUCAGAAGCAACCAUCGAAUUUAGCAAUGGACUUGACUCGCUUGGUGAAAGCUGUUCUGUGUCAUGGUGGCAGAGAUACAGCACGGUGGCUGAGAGUGAGCAGGAGCUGUGGAAGUUGAAUAGCACGGUGGCUGAGAGUGAGCAGGAGCUGUGGAAGUUGAAUAAUGUCUGAAGGGAGCAUUCUUUCUAGAGACUGUGGAAUGGAAUGACUUUCCGGAACUGCAGAUUGAAGGUGUAUUUUCAUCUGACUUUGGUGAUUAUGUUUCUAAUCUCUCUGGGAAUAAGGUGUGUCUGGGGUGA
rnacentral:lncRNA from 1 species